UUUGUAUAUGUAUAUAUCUAAAUCGUGCGCAAUAAUAUGUAUAGAGUGAUAUGAUUGCUUAAAAAAAAAAACGAAUUCGAUGUUCCCAAUUUUUUGCGCACUUUCUACUAAAUCAAGUCGUAUGUCAUGAAUAGCACGUUCAAUAUUGACUUUUAAAGCUUGGAGAAAGCCUGGUUUAUGCCUUCAAAUAACCACGUAAGAAGUAGCCUAAUGGUAUUAAAACAACUUUUGGGGUCCAUUUAAUGCCACAAUUUCUAUAAAUAAUCGAAUCUCCAAACAUUUCUGGCAAUCCUGCAGCUUUUGGACGUGCUGUGCGACACGUGGAUCCAGAUGUUGUUAAGAUCUACUUCUUCCAUUUGUGACCAUACAAAUUUGGUUAUCAUCAAUCUAUACCUCUCCAUUGAAAGUAACGGUGCUAACAGCUUCAUUGCGUGAGAAGUACAGACCGAAAAUUCCACCAGACCAAAUUGUCAAUUUAGAUGAAUGAAAUGGUUGUUCACGAAUCGACAGUUUUGUUUAUUUACAGCACCACUCAGGCGAAAGUGAUUUUCAUCAGAGAUUAUUUUCUUAAUUAAAUCGUUAUCUUUUUCAAGUUUUUGUUGUUGUUGUGUGGUUUGUAAACGUUGUUCUUGCGUUUAUAUUGCAAUGAUGAUAUUGUAAAUAUUAGUUGUGUUCGUUGAAAAAUGUCAGUAAAAACAAGCUAGUAACGAAAUUGAGAGAGUAAGAGAGUAAGAUGUCUUACCCUCUCAAAGAGAGAAAUUUACUGAGUUUUCAACGCACAGGAUUCAGUAAAAAUUAGUAAGCAAGUUGUACAACAGCUGUUUUUUGUCGGUUACAUUUGAAUCCGUUCAUUUGUAUAGUUUAUUUUUUCGGUUCUUUUGAAUUUUAAUUAAUUUGCCAUAUAUAUUUUUUUUAAAUUUAUGAGUUGUAUUCAAAAUUUAUUGUAUUUCAGAAAUUAUAAAAUUCUACAUGCUUUAUACCCAGCCAAAAAUAAAGAUACCAAUAUGAAUGUCCUCUAAAA